UUUCCGUAGGUGAACCUGCGGAAGGAUCAUUCAUAAUAAAGUGUUUUAUGGCACUUUUUAAAAAUCCAUAUCCACCUUGUGUGCAAUGUUAGAUCUCGUCAAUCUUGGCGAGAUUUUUAUACAUCAACUCAUUCUUUAACUAAUUUGUCUGAAAAAUAUUAUGAAUACUUAAUUCAAAAUACAACUUUCAACAACGGAUCUCUUGGCUCUCGCAUCGAUGAAGACCGCAGC
rnacentral:misc_RNA from 1 species